GGCAUAGGCGCUGCCUAUACAUGCAGUCGAGCGAAUGGAUUGAGAGCUUGCUCUCAAGAAGUUAGCGGCGGACGGGUGAGUAACACGUGGGUAACCUGCCCAUAAGACUGGGAUAACUCCGGGAAACCGGGGCUAAUACCGGAUAAUAUUUUGAACUGCAUGGUUCGAAAUUGAAAGGCGGCUUCGGCUGUCACUUAUGGAUGGACCCGCGUCGCAUUAGCUAGUUGGUGAGGUAACGGCUCACCAAGGCAACGAUGCGUAGCCGACCUGAGAGGGUGAUCGGCCACACUGGGACUGAGACACGGCCCAGACUCCUACGGGAGGCAGCAGUAGGGAAUCUUCCGCAAUGGACGAAAGUCUGACGGAGCAACGCCGCGUGAGUGAUGAAGGCUUUCGGGUCGUAAAACUCUGUUGUUAGGGAAGAACAAGUGCUAGUUGAAUAAGCUGGCACCUUGACGGUACCUAACCAGAAAGCCACGGCUAACUACGUGCCAGCAGCCGCGGUAAUACGUAGGUGGCAAGCGUUAUCCGGAAUUAUUGGGCGUAAAGCGCGCGCAGGUGGUUUCUUAAGUCUGAUGUGAAAGCCCACGGCUCAACCGUGGAGGGUCAUUGGAAACUGGGAGACUUGAGUGCAGAAGAGGAAAGUGGAAUUCCAUGUGUAGCGGUGAAAUGCGUAGAGAUAUGGAGGAACACCAGUGGCGAAGGCGACUUUCUGGUCUGUAACUGACACUGAGGCGCGAAAGCGUGGGGAGCAAACAGGAUUAGAUACCCUGGUAGUCCACGCCGUAAACGAUGAGUGCUAAGUGUUAGAGGGUUUCCGCCCUUUAGUGCUGAAGUUAACGCAUUAAGCACUCCGCCCGGGGAGUACGGCCGCAAGGCUGAGACUCAAAGGAAUUGACGGGGGCGCGCACAAGCGGUGGAGCAUGUGGUUUAAUUCAAAGCAACGCGCAGAACCUUACCAGGUCUUGACAUCCUCUGAAAACCCUAGAGAUAGGGCUUCUCCUUCGGGAGCAGAGUGACAGGUGGUGCAUGGGUGUCGUCACCUCGUGUCCUGAGAUGUUGUGUUAAAGUCCCGCAACCACCGCAACCCUUGAUCUUAUUGUCAUCAUUAGUUUGGGCACUCUCAGG
rnacentral:rRNA from 1 species